AGGAUAUGACAUUUGCAAAUUUUGUGAUUUAAAAAAUUGCACUUGUUAUAUUCUUGA
rnacentral:pre_miRNA from 1 species